AUACGGGUUCGAUUCCCGCCGCUCGCC
rnacentral:tRNA from 1 species